rnacentral:lncRNA from 1 species
CCACCAUGGAAGGAAGUGGUCCCUGUAUAUGAUGGCACACUGGCCAAAACCCGAGUGGCCCCAAUCUAGCUACAACUCGGAUACCAAAUGAUGAUUUUCCUGCUUCAAUAGAAGCAAACUGUCAGCUGAUGCUUCUGCCAGAUCUACUGUUGUAAAAUCUGUCAAAGCCUUCCAACAAGAUGAAACCUGCUUUCUCUCUCCUGCUCAUUCUCAUCCCACGUCUUAGGCUGAGAUCCCCUGGCAAUGCUGACUGCACCUCAGUACUUAGCUGUGGAUGGAAAAAUAUCAGCAGCCCUUUUUGCACCAGCUCUCUGUGAGUCUCAGAUCUUGUCACUGCACAACAGCAGGCCCCCUUGGAAACAGAAAGAUUCUGGAAGAUGAGUUGGGAGUUUGAGAAGGGAAAAUCAAAUCCUGUCCAAUCCCCUAAGGAAGAACAGCAGCUGGCUAUGUAGCAAAGAGAGGGAAAGAAGUUAGCCUAGGAAGCUGUAUAAUCAUCAUUGACCUAGAUUAAGAUUAAUUUAGGUUGGGAUUUGAAUCUUAUGCUCUGCAAUUUAUCAGUUCUGUACUCUGAAAUUAUUUGAUUGUGCCUUCUUUCUCUUGGUUUCUAAUAAAAUUGUCUUGAGAAAAUAU